rnacentral:rRNA from 1 species
CUGUACUUGGUGUUACUGCGAAGGGGGGACGGAGAAGGCUAUGUUGGCCGGGCGACGGUUGUCCCGGUUUAAGCGUGUAGGCUGGUUUUCCAGGCAAAUCCGGAAAAUCAAGGCUGAGGCGUGAUGACGAGGCACUACGGUGCUGAAGCAACAAAUGCCCUGCUUCCAGGAAAAGCCUCUAAGCAUCAGGUAACAUCAAAUCGUACCCCAAACCGACACAGGUGGUCAGGUAGAGAAUACCAAGGCGCUUGAGAGAACUCGGGUGAAGGAACUAGGCAAAAUGGUGCCGUAACUUCGGGAGAAGGCACGCUGAUAUGUAGGUGAAGUCCCUUGCGGAUGGAGCUGAAAUCAGUCGAAGAUACCAGCUGGCUGCAACUGUUUAUUAAAAACACAGCACUGUGCAAACACGAAAGUGGACGUAUACGGUGUGACGCCUGCCCGGUGCCGGAAGGUUAAUUGAUGGGGUCAGCGCAAGCGAAGCUCUUGAUCGAAGCCCCGGUAAACGGCGGCCGUAACUAUAACGGUCCUAAGGUAGCGAAAUUCCUUGUCGGGUAAGUUCCGACCUGCACGAAUGGCGUAAUGAUGGCCAGGCUGUCUCCACCCGAGACUCAGUGAAAUUGAACUCGCUGUGAAGAUGCAGUGUACCCGCGGCAAGACGGAAAGACCCCGUGAACCUUUACUAUAGCUUGACACUGAACAUUGAGCCUUGAUGUGUAGGAUAGGUGGGAGGCUUUGAAGUGUGGACGCCAGUCUGCAUGGAGCCGGCCUUGAAAUACCACCCUUUAAUGUUUGAUGUUCUAACGUGGACCCGUGAUCCGGGUUGCGGACAGUGUCUGGUGGGUAGUUUGACUGGGGCGGUCUCCUCCUAAAGAGUAACGGAGGAGCACGAAGGUUGGCUAAUCCUGGUCGGACAUCAGGAGGUUAGUGCAAUGGCAUAAGCCAGCUUGACUGCGAGCGUGACGGCGCGAGCAGGUGCGAAAGCAGGUCAUAGUGAUCCGGUGGUUCUGAAUGGAAGGGCCAUCGCUCAACGGAUAAAAGGUACUCCGGGGAUAACAGGCUGAUACCGCCCAAGAGUUCAUAUCGACGGCGGUGUUUGGCACCUCGAUGUCGGCUCAUCACAUCCUGGGGCUGAAGUAGGUCCCAAGGGUAUGGCUGUUCGCCAUUUAAAGUGGUACGCGAGCUGGGUUUAGAACGUCGUGAGACAGUUCGGUCCCUAUCUGCCGUGGGCGCUGGAGAACUGAGGGGGGCUGCUCCUAGUACGAGAGGACCGGAGUGGACGCAUCACUGGUGUUCGGGUUGUCAUGCCAAUGGCACUGCCCGGUAGCUAAAUGCGGAAGAGAUAAGUGCUGAAAGCAUCUAAGCACGAAACUUGCCCCGAGAUGAGUUCUCCCUGACCCUUUAAGGGUCCUGAAGGAACGUUGAAGACGACGACGUUGAUAGGCCGGGUGUGUAAGCGCAGCGAUGCGUUGAGCUAACCGGUACUAAUGAACCGUGAGGCUUAACCUUACAACGCCGAAG